CUGAUUUGUGUGGGUCAGAAUACACAGAACUCUCUCUAGCCUGGGAGCUGCUAAAAUGCAUCCACAGUCCAGGGCUGCGUGUUUCAGGCUCACCAUCAGUUCUUCACGGCAAUAAGACUCCUGAUCAGCCCAAAUCUCCUGCCUUGGGUCUCCCCUGGGAACAUCAUGACGCAAAUGAGAAGACGGAAAGUAAACAACCCCCCAGUCCAUAGUCGUGUAUUCUAGUUGUAGGUAAAUUCUGCUAUAUGGGACGCCACCUCAGCGUGGCCUUACGAGCAAUGCCAUGUCCAUGCCCAGAAUCCG
rnacentral:lncRNA from 1 species